CGGCGUGCCUAAUACAUGCAAGUCGAACGGUCUUUUCUAUGGAAGCUUGCUUCCACUGAGAAGAUAGUGGCGAACGGGUGAGUAACACGUGGGGUAACCUGCCCAUAAGAGGGGGGAUAACAUCCGGAAACGGGUGCUAAUACCGCAUAGUUUUCUUGAUCGCAUGAUCGGGAAAGGAAAGACGGCCUUUGUGCUGUCGCUUAUGGAUGGACCCGCGGCGUAUUAGUUAGUUGGUGAGGUAACGGCUCACCAAGACGAUGAUACGUAGCCGACCUGAGAGGGUGAUCGGCCACAUUGGGACUGAGACACGGCCCAAACUCCUACGGGAGGCAGCAGUAGGGAAUCUUCCGCAAUGGACGAAAGUCUGACGGAGCAACGCCGCGUGAGUGAAGAAAGGUUUUCGGAUCGUAAAACUCUGUUGUCAGAGAAGAACAAGUUGGAGAGUAACUGCUCCAGCCUUGACGGUAUCUGACCAGAAAGCCACGGCUAACUACGUGCCAGCCGCAGC
rnacentral:rRNA from 1 species